AAAUCUCUUUAGAGAAAGAAGAGUAGUAUAUAAUGUAAUAUUUAGAGAGAAUAUGUUUGGUGAAAAUAUUCUAUUGCAUAUAUAUGAAGACACUUUUGAGGAUUUUUCUAUCAACUUAUUAAAAGAGCAUAAAUGAUAACAUUUAUGAAAUAAGGUGGCACCGCGGAGUAAUUCGUCCUUAUA
rnacentral:ncRNA from 1 species